AGCAGCCGCGGUAAUUCCAGCUCCAAUAGCGUAUAUUAAAGUUGUUGCAGUUAAAAAGCUCGUAGUUGAAUUUCGGGAUCAAUUAGUCGGUCGUGCCUCUGGUACGUACUGGUUUUAUUGGUUCCUCCCUUCUGACGAAACAUGAUGUCAUUAAUUUGGUGUCGUGGAGAAUCAGGACUGUUACCUUGAAAAAUUAGAGUGUUUAUAGCAGGCUAACGCUUGAAUACAUUAGCAUGGAAUAAUGAAAUAGGACGUUCGACCCUAUUUUGUUGGUUUCUAGGAUCGACGUAAUGAUUAAUAGGGAUAGUUGGGGGCAUUAGUAUUCAAUUGUCAGAGGUGAAAUUCUUGGAUUUAUUGAAGACUAACUACUGCGAAAGCAUUUGCCAAGGAUGUUUUCAUUAAUCAAGAACGAAAGUUAGGGGAUCGAAGACGAUCAGAUACCGUCGUAGUCUUAACCAUAAACUAUGCCGACUAGGGA
rnacentral:rRNA from 1 species